rnacentral:tRNA from 1 species
GGGGUAAUGGCUUAGUGGCAGGGUAUCUGGUUUGUGUCCAGAAGGUCCCAGGUUCAGUCACUGGCAUCUCCA